GGGGAGCAACAGGAGGAAGGCUGCCCAACGUCCCCAGCGAUGGCCCUGGGCAUCUGCACCAGGAGAAGGGCACGGGUCCCCCCCCAAGCUGAAGGGGCAGGCUGCUCAGGUUUGUCGUCAGCGAGAACAAGCAGGGGCCAGGGGACCAGGAAGAGGCUGCUCCGUGUUUGGGAAGUGCCAUUUCAGCAGGGGCAGGACACAGGUGAGCAAAGAGAACCGCCACUUGCCCUGGGCCUGGGCCUCUUCACCAGCAGAUUUGGGGGCCGGGGCAGGAGGAGCAGGUGCCUCAUCAGGUAGGAAGCGUGCCACUAAGGUAGAGCCUGGCAGGAGAGCUGACCCCAAGCUGGGGCCACAGCCUCGUCCUGGCUGGACCCGGGCUGGGUAUUUCUGAAGUCCACCUCUCUUCCGUGCCCUGUAAACCAGCCUCAGACCAUGGUUUUCCAGCCCGAGAAGAGGACCCUGAAUGCCGGAAACUUCAGACAAGGUAUGGGACCUAAGGAGCUAUCCUCCCAGAACCAGAGGACCUCCACUCCCUGGCAAAUCCUGCCCACUGAGCUGCCUCUCCAUUGUGUUUGGGAAGUGCCUAGCAAAUGUGGCCCCAUAAUUUCCUGCUGUGUGACCUGAGACAAAUUGCAUGGCUUCUCUGGGCCUCAGCUUCCUGAAUCACCGUGGCAGCAUCUGCAGGGGCAAUGCGCCAGUGCUCACGGAAGGCUGUUCAUCUUUCAUCACUGUCA
rnacentral:lncRNA from 1 species